CGCCGUCUGGGCGGCGCGCCGCUGGUGGCCCGGGUUCGCCGGGCAGGUCGCCGGGCUGGCCGGGCUGGUCGCGAUCCUGCAGGCGACGG
rnacentral:tRNA from 1 species